rnacentral:rRNA from 1 species
GACGAACGCUGGCGGCGUGCUUAACACAUGCAAGUCGAACGGUGAACUCCGCUUGCGGGGGGAUCAGUGGCGAACGGGUGAGUAACACGUGGGCAACCUGCCCUCAGCUCUGGGAUAACUCCAAGAAAUUGGGGCUAAUACCGGAUAUGACCGCUGACCGCAUGGUCUGGUGGUGGAAAGAUUUAUCGGCUGGGGAUGGGCCCGCGGCCUAUCAGCUUGUUGGUGGGGUAGUGGCCUACCAAGGCGACGACGGGUAGCCGGCCUGAGAGGGUGACCGGCCACACUGGGACUGAGAGACGGCCCAGACUCCUACGGGAGGCAGCAGUGGGGAAUAUUGCGCAAUGGGCGAAAGCCUGACGAAGCGGCGCCGCGUGGGGGAUGACGGCCUUCGGGUUGUAAACCUCUUUCAGCAGGGACGAAGCGAAAGUGACGGUACCUGCAGAAGAAGCACCGGCCAACUACGUG